rnacentral:piRNA from 1 species
UGGACAUGGCGCUUAGCUGACACUUGGAAA